ensembl:lncRNA
CUUACAGAAGUAGCUGCUGGGCAGUUGCAAUUUUAGAACAGAGUUCCUUUAUAUACGAAUGCUUUUUUUUUUUAAUGCUUGUUCUAAAGUGGAUCUGAUCUCGUGAGGUAAGGGAGAGACUUGCUUCUGAAGCAGAAAGGGUAGCAAACAGGUAGAUAAGAAAUUAAUGCAGAAGCACACAAUUACAAACUUGCACAACUCCAGCAAGCACGUUCACAAGAGCAUUAUGCUGACAUCAUAAAAACAUUGGCAGAAGGCACGGUUUGGUCUGAGAGGAAACACAAGUCAGGUAAUUCACAUCCUUUUAAGGUUGGAAGUGAAAAACAGACUACAGAAUGACAGGAGAAAGGAAAAUGCUGGUUUUCAUGGCUUCAUCACUGUUGAACAGAGCAGCCUUAGGUUGGGUCAUUUCUUUGUGCCGGAGGACUUUUCAAAGGAUGCUGAAGCUUUCAUACUACACGGCUUACAGUGCAGAUGGAACAGGACGUGUCGUUAUGUUUACUGUGUGUGGCUGUCAGUGCUUAGCAGUAAGGUGUGCUUGGUUAUUAGCAAUGUCUGGUUCCUGUAUCACGAACCCUACGCCUGCAGCUUUUCUCCUGCCUUUGCCUCUCAGCUGUGAAUUACUGCACUGGUGUGUCUGUGCUCAGGACUACCCAGAAGGAAGCACACAAGGCCCAUUUCUGGACUUCAUGAGCUACAAUGUUCGGUGCUGCACAGGUGAGCAUGGUGUGGACAGCAGCACAUGGAUGGGCAGGUCAGGGAAGUACCACAGGGAAGAGCACAGCAAUGCCUUCGAUUCCCCCAGGCUCUUCUCAUAACAUCCUAUGCAAAAUGUCUGCAACAUGGGGAUGUUGAGCAUAGCAAAAGCACAAGCACUAGCACUGCCAGUGGAAACACUUAUCUGGAAAGAAUGUUCUUCAUUGCACCAUUGGGGAAAUUAAAUCAAAUUAAGCCGUUUCAUUUGUUGGGGUAGGAGAUUAUUCCUCAUUGUGCCAGCAAAUUCUUUACUUGCCUCCAUAAGGAAUUCAUCCAAAGUCUGAAUUUUGAAUGGCUCCAAAAUAAAACUAAUUUAAGCAGUGUCAAACGCUUACUGUCAUUCCUUCCUUAUCACUCGGAAGUGAAUCCCUUCAUUUUUCUCUCUCAUAACUUAUGAACUGCAGCACUUAUAUCUAAAUUUAGGGGGGAUGCUGUUUUGUUAUAGUGUGGACUUUACCUUGUAUAUUAACAUCUGCUUCAAAGAGAAUGUACGCACAAGCUCAGGAGAACCAACUGAUAUUUCUUUCAGCCUGAUGGUAGUCCAGGUGGAAGACGUUGCCUCUGGUAGGCUGUAUGUGGUGUGGAAGCAAAGAGCAUGGUAGUCUGGGUAGGCUGGGGGAGCAUUUGGGUCUAUUAGAGCAGAGCUGGUGUUUGUUGUGCAGUGCGCUCCAGAGUGCUUAAUGCAUGGGUCCAUCUUAACACUGAGCUAAGAGGGGGUAGUGUCUGCUAAAUAUAAGGCAGGUUUGAUGAAGUAGAUCCUUUAUUUUGGCAGUAGGCAAAGUAGUGCCAAUGGAAACGGUGCAAACCUGGCCGCAAUGUGUCUGCCCCGGCAGUCACAAGGAAGGGUAGGUAUGCCAGGCAGCACCUGAGUGUGUUCCACAGCCAGCACCGGUCUGCCAAACCCAAGGUAGCAACAGCAGUGAUGCACAGGAGGAAGGAAGUGAUGGUUUAUCACAUUACACAGACCAGCCUGCACACAGCAUGGGGCACAGGGAUGCCCACAUGCCUGUUUGGAAGCUGCCUCCUCCAGAGCAGAGCAGGAGGGCUGGAGGGGAGGCACUGCAGGAGAGUGGCU